UAUUCUCAAUCCACUCUGAAUUUUUGAAAAGAAAUUUGUUUGGAAUUGGACUUGGAGGCCUUUUGUUGGUUAUACUUUGUUGAUCGACUCCUCUAAAAUACAUUAGCAGGAACGAAGUGCCAUCUUCAGUGUGAUAAUUAUCUGCGCUGUGGACUGGUUCUUGAAGUUCUCGCUUCUAAUGGUCUAUUUUCUUAGACAUUUUUAUGAC
rnacentral:misc_RNA from 1 species